rnacentral:rRNA from 1 species
AAGUCGAGGGGCAGCAUGGUCUUAGCUUGCUAAGGCUGAUGGCGACCGGCGCACGGGUGAGUAACACGUAUCCAACCUUCCCGCAACUGGGGAAUAACCUUGCGAAAGUAAGACUAAUACCCCAUGGUCUCCACGGAUGGCAUCUGAAAUGGAGUAAAGGUUUCGGCCGGUUGCGGAUGGGGAUGCGUCCGAUUAGCUUGACGGCGGGGUAACGGCCCACCGUGGCAUCGAUCGGUAGGGGUUCUGAGAGGAAGGUCCCCACAUUGGAACUGAGACACGGUCCAAACUCC